UCUUCAGUCAUCUUCCAUUACCGAAAUUGAAUAACAAAAUACACCAUUCUUAGGGUUUUCAUUCGGCCAAGCUCUCUACUUCAAUUAUCAAGAAAAGUAGAAUUCGGAUCUAGAUCGGGGGAAAACUAAAGUUAUCGACUAAUCGACUCAUUUCGUCGUUUACACAUCCGAGGUAAGUUCGUAUGUGAUAAAUUUUAAUACAAAUGUAUUUCAUAUGCUUUGAUAUUGCAUAAAUUGCAAAUACGAGACUGUGGAUACGAACGAUAGUGAUUCGACGACGAUUCGACAUUCGAAAUCCUGGUUGAACCUUAAGAAUAGUUUAGAAUGCUAGUGACUUGACAUUAGGAGAUACAUUGAGUUGGCUUCGGGCCAUGAUAUUAGCACUUUGGGUGUGAGAUAAACCGAUUUGACUUCGGGCCAUGCAUAUCGGUUGAUUUGGCUUCGACCAUGAUAUUAGUAUUUCAAAUAAGUUACUUUGAUUUGGCUUCGAGCCAUCGUAUAGGUACUUAUCGUGUGAGAUCCUUAAAUAUCUGAUUCCUAUUCUGAAUGGUUCAACGGAAAAUUGUAAGACGAGAAUGUGUAUGAGACUUGUACGGGAUGGUAUAGGUAUGUGUAUAAACUAUUUUAGCAUCAAAUUGAAGAAAUGAUGGUGAAAUUAUAUAAUUUUGUGAAUGAGUAUAUGAAAGGUUUGUUAGUUAA